rfam:Triticum urartu cultivar G1812 contig475237, whole genome shotgun sequence.
UACAUACUCCCUCCGUCCUGAACUACUUGUCGUAGAAAUGGACAGAAAUGGAUGCAUCUAAAACUGAAAUUACGUCUAGAUACAUUCAUUUCUAUGACAAGUAACUUAGGACAGAGGUAGUAUGUU